UCCAGAGUGUAAUUCAGCUGCAGUCUACUCAGCAGUGAGAGGAGCAGGAGACGUCAGUUAUGGACAAAUAGUCAUCAGACCACAAAGGACGAGAGGUGCAGAUGCUCUUUGGACAGAGACAGGCUACCUGUUUCCCCCUGCUUCCAGUCGUUAUGCUAAGCUAAGCUAACCACGACUUGACUACAGAGUGUUUCUAAAACAUUGAACAAUUGAACUAUUCCUUUCAAAGAGAUGUGGGUAAUAGGAAGUUCAGACGGACUAAACGUGAGGACCUCUAAACCAGUCAGGUGAAGGCUCAGGAGGGCCGCUUACAUUUCUAUUAGCAAGUUGACAUUUUUUGUAUAAAUCAGCAAAUUCACUUUACGGAGUAGUUUUCCCAAAAUGGUUAUGAAUCAUGGCAUGUUGAUCUCCACAGACAAUACACUGACAUUAGUGAUGAAAUAAAUUCACAACACGUUACCAGACUGUUAAGACAUCUAAGGGGAUAGAAAGGAGCUCAGCUGAAAGAUUGUUGAUAUUUGAACCCGCCAAACAAACUCCCUUCACUCCCUCAGAAGCUCCGCCCUCCAAAUUCAUGGACUGGCAUUGCAACGGCGACUAUAGGGGAGAGCCCGGACGAAUGAAACACUUUUUAGAUAAACUUCAUUUUAAAAGAUGACGUUACAGACAGAAAUAAUUUUUGUUGUGAUCAGCAACUCCCGUGUGUUUUCUAUCAAUACCAGGAGCUAUUUUGUACAAACGUGGAACGACAUCAGUGGCCCCGUGUCUCCUGAUAAGCUCUAGUGUGAAGAAGACAAACCACAUGACCAAUUUUAUAAAUGAAGGAGAGAAACCGUCACUACCCUCCCCUUCAAAGAGGAAGGAAGAGAGUUUAACUGGACGGACUGAGUGGUGGUGCAAUGGAACAGACAUCUUUUCUGCUCUUGCUGAUCUCUCUGCUGAGCUGCAGGACCAGCGGAGGUGAGUGAACUCUGACAGUCAAAAGCUGUUCGCAUAACGCUUUCUGGUUAAAACUAAUACAAAAUGUGUGUUCUGUAAAGUGUUUGGACACAAACACAAAAAGAGAGAAUGUUUUAAUACUAACUAAACAAAUGACCAAGAUUAUUUACAACCACUACACAAAAACAGACUUGAAGCUACCAAAAAGAAAGAAAGUCUCUAAAAACAAGGACAAGUUGACCAGGAUACAAGUUCAAUCAGA